AGUUAAACAGUACGUGAAAUUGUUGAAAGGGAAACGAUUAAAGUCAGUCGUACCUACGAGUAAUCAACCUACACGAGCGCGAUUUUGUGGGUAUGAAGAGGUAAAAACCUUCAUGCUUGCUAAUUGGUGUUCUUUGGGCGUACUUUCUCGUAUGGUAGGUUAACAUCAAUUUCGAUCGUUAUAAAAUGACAGGAGGAAUGUAGCUUCGACUUCGGUUGAAGUGUUAUAGCCUCUGGUAGAUGUAAUGAUUGGGAUUGAGGAUUGCAACGGAUACCCUCUGGGCUAUUCGUCUGAUCUCUGGAAGUUACCUUGGUGUCGAAAGCGUGCUUAUGACAUUAAGAAUGACGGCCAAAAGGUUAGAACGGAAUUAAAUUCGUUAAGGAUGUUGACGUAAUGGCUUUAAA
rnacentral:misc_RNA from 1 species